UGGGGAAUCUUGGACAAUGGGCGCAAGCCUGAUCCAGCCAUGCCGCGUGAGUGAUGAAGGCCUUAGGGUUGUAAAGCUCUUUUGGCGGGGACGAUAAUGACGGUACCCGCAGAAUAAGUCCCGGCUAACUUCGUGCCAGCAGCCGCGGUAAUACGAAGGGGACUAGCGUUGUUCGGAAUCACUGGGCGUAAAGCGCACGUAGGCGGAUUUGUAAGUCAGGGGUGAAAUCCCGGGGCUCAACCUCGGAACUGCCUUUGAUACUGCGGAUCUCGAGUCCGAUAGAGGUGGGUGGAAUUCCUAGUGUAGAGGUGAAAUUCGUAGAUAUUAGGAAGAACACCAGUGGCGAAGGCGGCUCACUGGUCCGGUACUGACGCUGAGGUGCGAAAGCGUGGGGAGCAAACAGGAUUAGAUACCCCCGUAGUCCCUGAGCGGGCUGGCAAGGCGCAU
rnacentral:rRNA from 1 species